ensembl:misc_RNA
GGGGAAGGAGGCCAAUGGUACAGGGGUUAUCUCCCAACCUCAGAUGCCGGAUAAGUCAGGGGGUGCAGAACCGCUUCUGGAUGACAUUCAGAAACGCUGGAGUGAUUAUUUGGAAGAGAAAAGCCUACCUAUUCUUCCCAAGGUAAACAGUUCAUUUCAUCUGCC